ensembl:lncRNA
UUGAAUUUUAUCACAUCCCCAGCGCUCUAGUUGUGUGUCUUUCCCAAUUCAGUGAUAGACCUGAAGAUGAGUGAUUAUUUCUUCUGACUAAUACAGCAUCAGCAUAAAAAUCAAACCAGUUCUCAGACACAUUUUAGAAAGCUAUUAUCCCCACUUUGGAGGAGACAAAGCUGAAUGUAGCUGUUAAGCAAUAUGUUCACCUUUAUGCAUUUUGCCAAGAGGAAGAACACAUCCAUUACUCAAACUGAUGAGCACAUGUCCUGCCUUCUGUAUUCUGGUGUCAACGGACCUUGGCAAAAUGUAAUGACAUUUUGUCACAUAUGGGAAAUGCACUGGAAUAGAACUGGAUGGUUUAAGUUCAUCAUCUGUUUAUCUGUUGACAGAGAUCAAUAUAGAUUAGAGAUUUUGUGGCUAAUUGUGAAGAAAACCAUUUUUGGAAUGCCUGGGCAGUACAAGCGUGAAUCACAGCAGCAAGCCAUUGCUUCUGUCUCCCAACAUGUAUCAUGGAACUAUUUUCUUCCAUCCCUUUUGUAGUACAGUACAUUCUACAUUAUGAAUCAUUUUCAUGCAAAAAUAGAAACAAGUGAUGACUAUGUUCACUCCACAACAGAGAAGAAAGGACUGGCAUCCCAUAAUUAAAUUACCAGGUUUAGUGGCAUUGUAACAGAUUGCUGCACACAUGGCCUUGCGUGUCAGCUGUAGAGAGGUUAAUAGACCUGAAACACGUUUCCUAACAAAAAAAAAAAAAUCGAUUUUUAAAAAGUCAGAUUCUGGAUCUGGGGGAAGGUCCAAAGUAACACAUUGAUAUUUAGUGCCAUUUAGGACAUUGUAACACUGAUAAUGCCAUACCUAAAAGCAAAAUGAAAUGCUGCUGUUCUUGACACUGAGCUAUGUGCCUAUCAUCUCUAUGAAGGGAAAGAGAGGAACAAAGCACCUGGGAAUUGGAUGUACAGUCCACAGCGUUCUGGGGUGUGGGAGGUGAGAUGCUUCAUUCAAGGCACUUUGUUCAUCUCUUCCAUCAGUCCUACCCAUGUCACACACUGGUGCUGCUGAGCUGGGUCUCCCAGACAUGAGCUACUCGGAGCCAGGAGCAGAGUUCUUGGGAUUAAAGUGCCAAACCUGACCUCGUAAUCCUGCUGGGAGGCUGGGAAUGUUAACUCAUGCUUAUUGCCCUGACACGGCUGCUUGGGUUCUCUCCAGUCUGGAGCAUGCACCUGCCUGGGAUGUGGGCAGAGAAAGCCUAAGCCUUCCUGCAGAAGAUCAUGUAGGGAUUCCCUUAGGUGCCUAGCUCGGCCUGCAACAGAUAUGCAUUUUGUGGAGUGUAGUAAUGACUGGAGACAUUGCCAUUUUCCAGCUGCUCAGCAUGGCCCAUCAUCUAGUUCUGCUGGAAGAAGAGACUGCAGUCACACUUGCAUUUUCAAUCUAGCAAAUUCAGUCAGGUAAACUGAAGACACCAGCUUUUAAAUCCCAGUCUCUCUGUCUGAAGUGAUUGCCCCUUCUGUAAUACUACAUAGGUAGGGUAACUUGGGCUCUAUUCAGUGAGAAUACAUCAAGCUGCAGGUUUGGGGGCAGGUUUUUUUGUUUUGUUUUAUUUUUGUUUUGUUUUAUUUUUGUUUUUUUUUUUUUUUAUUGGGAGGAGUGUGAUUAGAGGGCUAUUCAGUGGGGUGCCAAACCCACAGAUGGGAAUUAUAGUUACACAAUUGAUAUUGUCUGUGCAGUGAUAGUUGACAAUUUAAUAAACAACAUACACAAUAUAUUGAAUGAAGUAAU